AGAUGUUCGAGCUCCUGCGGUUUAUUGAGGAGGCAACAACCAUAUCGGAAAAAAUCAAAAGAGGCGAGAUUCACCUGCUUGAUUUUGUCUUUGAUGUCAUGCUCCCAGAGGUGAGUAGAUCAAACUAUAUAUCUUGCUUUGAAAAUUGAUGAUAUUGUUAAGAGGUUGUUCUUAUUCAUUUGGAAGGCUCAAGAACAACAAUUAACCCAUACUGCAUAACUUCAAUUGUUCACAUUAUUUGACUGUUUUUCAGCUUUUGAUCAAAGCACUUCAGGAGCAUGGCAUCACCCGGUUCAGAGCAGAGCAGAUGAUGGCCUGUAGCAAUAUAUUUUAAGCCCCCCACCACACCGACGGCAACGCUCUAAAUUAUGUAUAUACGAUUAUAUUUUUUUUUACUGUUCACAAUUUAUUUUUUGGAAAAUAUUAAAGAAAUCUUUGAAGCAGUUGUAUGACAAUUUCCCAUUUCUUUACACAGUCUGUAAUGAUAUCGCAAUUCAAUUGUUUUUGCUAAAUGGCUCUUCUGAACCUUAAACAGAUCAUGUGACUUGUGUCUCUACAAUUAUUGUAUACUUGGAUUUUGCACAGUCAAUCAAUCCUGAAGAGGCUCACCAGGAAGCACACCAUUUCAUAAAUUAUGUCCCUGGUUACACAAUGUUACUAAAGGAUGGGGGGAAAAAUAUGUGCAGCAACGUAAGCACUCUCAUAAAACAUAAUUAUGAACAACAGAAAAUAUGUGAG
rnacentral:lncRNA from 1 species